GUUAUUAUUGUUAGCAUUGUUACUGUUACCUGCAUCCGGCAUGGCGAGGUGCUGGUACUUACCCCAGUAGAUAAGCACGAGAGAAGCCAGGGGAAACAAUCUAUUGAAGGCAGGCAUCUUCUGGGGCUGGCGGCUUCCAAGGCUACACAGAGAGAUUCCCUCGGUCAAGGACUGCGCCCUCUCAGAUUCUUUCGAGGAAACCCUUUGGGACGAACUGCCCCCAGGGGGCGACUUUCUGACCGAAGGAAGGGCCGAGCACCGGUGCCUGGGGAGGCCCUGGGAGCUUUUGGAGCCGGGUGGGGGCUUUGGGCCCUAAGCGACCCCACUGGACCUCCCCAGUUCGAGGGAGCCGAUCAGCCGCUCCGCGCCCGCUCUCGCCGGCGCUCAGCACCACGGACAGUCGCCUCCCCGCCCACCCCGGAACUCCAGCUUCCACUCGCGCCCCUGCCUCGCUCGUUUGCGCCCAGGGAUGUGGAGCUGAGAAGCCCCGAUUUCCACUUUCUGACUCCUAGACUCAGCUGAUUUGAACCCCUCAGUGGAAUAGCAGCAGCCCAUCCGCAGCUUUCCUAGAAGUUCCUGACCUAGUAGCCUGAAAUGCAUUCUAAUCAAGUGAGACAAGGCUGUGGCUGGAAGACUCCCCGUGAGCCAGGGAAUUGAAGCUGCCUCUGCAAGCUGAAUUCGUAAUUGCCAUGAGAAGGCAACAGCAUCAAAUCCUCCAGCGUGCCAAUUCUUUAGGCGACGGACGAAUUGACAACUCCUCACCUUACAUAGGCACCAACUGACUGUUGGUCUUUGCCCAGCUCUGGGUUUGUACCUGCCCUUCUGCCCACAGCGAUGGUGUCAUUUUGACCUUGAUCUGGGAAUUGCUGUUCUUGUCAGCCUGUUGGCUCCCUCUGUUGAGGGAGACAGCUCUUUUGAGUGUCCAGGAGAUGGAAGUACAAAGGUGGACAAAUAUCUACACUCGGAAGGCAGACAAUAGUACCCCCCAAUUUCUGUUUGCACAUAGGUGAGAGCAAGAAAAAAAGGAGAAUACAUUGUAAAGAGUUUUAGUUCAGACACAAUAUGAAAGCACUUGAUUCUAAUGUUAUUUUUUUAAAAUUCAACUAAACACAUGUAGGACAAAUAUAGAACCAUAUCCUAGAGUUUGUUUUUUACUUUUUCUUUUUGAGAAGGAGUCUUGCUCAGUCGCCCGGGCUGGAGUGCAGUGGCGCGAUCUCAGCUCACUGCAAGCUCCUCCUCCCGGGUUCACGCCAUUCUCCGGCCUCAGCCUCCCAAGUAGCUGGGACUACAGGCGCCCGCCUCCACACCCGGCUAAUUUUUUUCUAUUUUUCGGUCUCCUGACCUUGUGAUCGGCCCGCCUCGGCCUCCCAAAGUGCUGGGAUUACAGGCGUGAGCCACCACACCCGGCCUAGCGUGGUUUUUAAAGAGCUUUAUUAUCCUGCUUUUUAAAACUUUAAUACAUUUUCCAAAUUUCUACAAAGAGAACAUAUCUCAACAAAAUUAGGAAAAAAUGCAAAUGAGAAAAGACGGAUACUCAAGUGCAGCUCAGUUCAGUCCAGUGCCAGCUGGCCAGGCCUUUUGCGGCAGGCAGCCUAUAAAGAUGCUCUAUAAAGAUACUGCACGCCUGGGUCUGGAUUCUCCAGGGAGCAGGUGGCUCAGAGAGAGCAUCAGUGACAAGAGCAAGGCAGAUGGUGGGAAGGCGAGGGUGUGGGUGCCACACGGUGGCAUCUCACACACUUCUGUUCAUUCCAUAAACAGGUUUAGUAAGCACCAUUUCCUGGGGGAAAGUCUACUUCUGGAAAGAAUUGUCUAUUGGAAAUGAAGAUCUUUCCCUGCUGCAGAAUAGGCUUAAAGAAACAAGUGCAGGCAGACAAGAGGGUC